rnacentral:rRNA from 1 species
AGAGUUUGAUCCUGGCUCAGAUUGAACGCUGGCGGCAUGCCUUACACAUGCAAGUCGAACGGUAACAGGGAGCUUGCUCCGCUGACGAGUGGCGAACGGGUGAGUAAUGUAUCGGAACGUGCCUAGUAGCGGGGGAUAACUACGCGAAAGCGUGGCUAAUACCGCAUACGACCUGAGGGUGAAAGCGGGGGAUCGCAAGACCUCGCGCUAUUGGAGCGGCCGAUAUCAGAUUAGCUAGUUGGUGGGGUAAAGGCCUACCAAGGCAUCGAUCAGUAGCUGGUCUGAGAGGACGACCAGCCACACUGGAACUGAGACACGGUCCAGACUCCUACGGGAGGCAGCAGUGGGGAAUUUUGGACAAUGGGCGCAAGCCUGAUCCAGCAAUGCCGCGUGAGUGAAGAAGGCCUUCGGGUUGUAAAGCUCUUUUGUCAGGGAAGAAACGGUCUUGGUUAAUACCUGGGGCUAAUGACGGUACCUGAAGAAUAAGCACCGGCUAACUACGUGCCAGCAGCCGCGGUAAUACGUAGGGUGCAAGCGUUAAUCGGAAUUACUGGGCGUAAAGCGUGCGCAGGCGGUUAUGUAAGACAGUUGUGAAAUCCCCGGGCUCAACCUGGGAACUGCAUUCGAAACUGGCAGGCUAGAGUCUUGUAGAGGGGGGUAGAAUUCCAGGUGUAGCGGUGAAAUGCGUAGAGAUCUGGAGGAAUACCGGUGGCGAAGGCGGCCCCCUGGACAAAGACUGACGCUCAGGUGCGAAAGCGUGGGGAGCAAACAGGAUUAGAUACCCUGGUAGUCCACGCCGUAAACGAUGUCGACUUGGAGGUUGUGCCCUUGAGGCGUGGCUUCCGGAGCUAACGC